rnacentral:rRNA from 1 species
GAAAGCUUGCUUUCUUUGCUGGCGACCGGCGCACGGGUGAGUAACACGUAUCCAACCUGCCCUUUACUCGGGGAUAGCCUUUCGAAAGAAAGAUUAAUACCCGAUGGGAUAAUUAUUCCGCAUGGUUUGAUUAUUAAAGGAUUCCGGUAAAGGAUGGGGAUGCGUUCCAUUAGGUUGUUGGUGAGGUAACGGCUCACCAAGCCUUCGAUGGAUAGGGGUUCUGAGAGGAAGGUCCCCCACAUUGGAACUGAGACACGGUCCAAACUCCUACGGGAGGCAGCAGUGAGGAAUAUUGGUCAAUGGGCGCUAGCCUGAACCAGCCAAGUAGCGUGAAGGAUGAAGGCUCUAUGGGUCGUAAACUUCUUUUAUAUAAGAAUAAAGUGCAGUAUGUAUACUGUUUUGUAUGUAUUAUAUGAAUAAGGAUCGGCUAACUCCGUGCCAGCAGCCGCGGUAAUACGGAGGAUCCGAGCGUUAUCCGGAUUUAUUGGGUUUAAAGGGAGCGUAGGUGGACUGGUAAGUCAGUUGUGAAAGUUUGCGGCUCAACCGUAAAAUUGCAGUUGAUACUGUCAGUCUUGAGUACAGUAGAGGUGGGCGGAAUUCGUGGUGUAGCGGUGAAAUGCUUAGAUAUCACGAAGAACUCCGAUUGCGAAGGCAGCUCACUGGACUGCAACUGACACUGAUGCU